rnacentral:rRNA from 1 species
CCUACGGGAGGCAGCAGUGGGGAAUAUUGCACAAUGGGGGAAACCCUGAUGCAGCGACGCCGCGUGAGUGAAGAAGCGUUUCGGCGCGUAAAGCUCUGUCAGCGGGGAAGAAACACGGUUCGCGAGAGCCGCGGACGGUACCCGACCAAGAAGCCCCGGCUAACUACGUGCCAGCAGCCGCGGUAAUACGUAGGGUGCGCGCGUUAAUCGGAAUUACUGGGCGUAAAGCGCACGUAGGCUGUAUGACAAGUCAAGGGUGAAAUGCCACGGCUCAACCGUGGAACUGCCUUUGAAACUGUCAAACUGGAGUAUGUGAGAGGGCGGCGGAAUUCCUGGUGUAGGAGUGAAAUCCGUAGAUAUCAGGAGGAACAUCAGUGGCGAAGGCGGCCGCCUGGCACAAAACUGACGCUGAGGUGCGAAAGCGUGGGUAGCAAACAGGAUUAGAUACCCGGGUAGUC